GAUGAACGCUAGCUACAGGCUUAACACAUGCAAGUCGAGGGGAACGAUAUUGGAAGCUUGCUUCUGAUAGGCGUCGACCGGCGCACGGGUGAGUAACGCGUAUCCAACCUGCCCAUCACUUGGGGAUAACCUUGCGAAAGUAAGACUAAUACCCAAUGAUAUCUCUAGAAGACAUCUGAAGGAGAUUAAAGAUUUAUCGGUGAUGGAUGGGGAUGCGUCUGAUUAGCUUGUUGGCGGGGUAACGGCCCACCAAGGCGACGAUCAGUAGGGGUUCUGAGAGGAAGGUCCCCCACAUUGGAACUGAGACACGGUCCAAACUCCUACGGGAGGCAGCAGUGAGGAAUAUUGGUCAAUGGACGAGAGUCUGAACCAGCCAAGUAGCGUGCAGGAUGACGGCCCUAUGGGUUGUAAACUGCUUUUAUAAGGGAAUAAAGUGAGUCUCGUGAGACUUUUUGCAUGUACCUUAUGAAUAAGGACCGGUUAAUUCCGUGCCAG
rnacentral:rRNA from 1 species